rnacentral:rRNA from 1 species
GAUCCUGGCUCAGGAUGAACGCUAGCUACAGGCUUAACACAUGCAAGUCGAGGGGCAUCAGUUUGGUUUGCUUGCAAACCAAAGCUGGCGACCGGCGCACGGGUGAGUAACACGUAUCCAACCUACCUCAUACUCGGGGAUAGCCUUUCGAAAGAAAGAUUAAUAUCCGAUAGCAUAUAUUUCCCGCAUGGGUUUUAUAUUAAAGAAAUUCGGUAUGAGAUGGGGACGCGUUCCAUUAGUUUGUUGGGGGGGUAACGG